rnacentral:rRNA from 1 species
CGCACGGUAAACGAUGGAUGCUCGCUGUGGGCGACAAACAGUCCGCGGCCAAGCGAAAGCGUUAAGCAUCCCACCUGGGGAGUACGCCGGCAACGGUGAAACUCAAAGGAAUUGACGGGGGCCCGCACAAGCGGAGGAACAUGUGGUUUAAUUCGAUGAUACGCGAGGAACCUUACCCGGGCUUGAAUUGCUAAUGAAUGGAGUAGAGAUAUUUCAGCCGCAAGGCAUUAGUGAAGGUGC